GACGAACGCUGGCGGCGUGCUUAACACAUGCAAGUCGAACGGAAAGGCCUGCUUUCCCUUGUGGAUUGCGGGUACUCGAGUGGCGAACGGGUGAGUAACACGUGAGUGAUCUGCCCCCAACUUGGGUAUAAGCCUGGGAAACUGGGUCUAAUUCCCGAUCGGACUGCAGGGUGGUGCCUGUGGUGGAAAACGAUUUUCUAGUGGUUGGGGAUGAGCUCGCGGCCUAUCAGCUUGUUGGUGGGGUAAUGGCCUACCAAGGCGGCGACGGGUAGCCGGCCUGAGAGGGUGGACGGACACAGUGGGACUGAGAGACGGCCCAGACGCCGACGGGAGGCAGCAGUGGGGAAUAGUGGACAAUGGGCGGAAGCCUGAUGAAGCGACGCCGGGUGGGGGAUGACGGCCUGCGGGUUGUAAACUCCUUUCGACCGCGAGGAAGCCACCUGGUUGGAAGGGUGGUGACGGUAGUGGCAGAAGAAGCACCGGCUAACUACGUG
rnacentral:rRNA from 1 species